GGAAGCAAGGGUGACCUGGCUGUGACAACUGCCAUCCCCUUGUACUUUUUGUGUGUCUCUCCUCAAGCUGCAGGCGCGGGGGUGAGGGGCUUCUCAAAGAAAGAACAUUAUUCUUUCUUUAGGAGUUUAUGAGCAGCUGUGCUUCUCUGCUAGAACUUCCAAACAAAUUCUCAAGGUCUAUUUGUGGAGAAUGCAGUGUAGCUAAAGACUGAAGUUCUACACUUAUCCAAGAGAGUCACUUACUGCUUAUAGCAGUAAGUCUUUAAUA
rnacentral:snRNA from 1 species